rnacentral:rRNA from 1 species
UACGGAGGAUGCAAGCGUUAUCCGGAUUUAUUGGGUUUAAAGGGUGCGCAGGCGGACUAAUAAGUCAGUGGUGAAAUUUACAUGCUUAACAUGUAUCGUGCCAUUGAUACUGUUAGACUAGUAUACAAAUGACGUAGCUGGAAUGUGUUAUGUAGCGGUGAAAUGCAUAGAUAUAACACAGAACACCGAUCGUGAAGACAGGUUACGAAUUUGUUAUAGACGCUCAGGCACGAAAGCGUGGGGAUCAAACAGGA